rnacentral:rRNA from 1 species
GUUAGGAAUAUUGGACAAUGGGCGAAAGCCUGAUCCAGCCAUGCCGCGUGAACGAUGAAGGCCUUCGGGUUGUAAAGUUCUUUAGCCGAUGAUUAUAAUGACUGUAGUCGGAAAAUAAGCCCCGGCUAACUUCGUUCCAGCAGCCGCGGUAAUACGAAGGGGGCGAGCGUUAUUCGGAAUCACUGGGCGUAAAGCGUGCGUAGUCGGUUUUGUAAGUUAGGAGUGAAAGCCCAGGGCUCAACCUUGGAAUUGCUCUUAAAACUGCAAGGCUCGAAUCUCGGAGAGGAUAGCGGUAUUUCCAGUGUAGCAGUGAAAUGCGUAGAUAUUGGAAGGAACACCAGUGGCGUAAGCGGCUAUCUGGACGAGUAUUGACGCUGAGGCACGAAAGCGUGGGGAUCAAACAGGAUUAGAUACCCCUGUAGUCC